CCCUCCGAAAAUGCCAUCCCGCCCACUUUCUACAGACCCUACUUCAGAAUUGUUCGAUUUGACGUCUCAGCAAUGGAGAAGAAUGCUUCCAAUUUGGUGAAAGCAGAGUUCAGAGUCUUUCGUUUGCAGAACCCAAAAGCCAGAGUGCCUGAACAACGGAUUGAGCUCUAUCAGAUUCUCAAGUCCAAAGAUUUAACAUCUCCAACCCAGCGCUACAUCGACAGCAAAGUUGUGAAAACAAGAGCAGAAGGCGAAUGGCUCUCCUUCGAUGUAACUGAUGCUGUUCAUGAAUGGCUUCACCAUAAAGGUUACAAGCCACUCUCUCUUUUCCUCCCAAGUUGUUCAGUAUCCCUAAGUUACUUUAAAUUGAUUGCAGAUUUAAGGGUAUAGACACACAUAAAAAUG
rnacentral:sRNA from 1 species